GGGACUCGAGCCUAUAACUGUCAAGCACACACUCAACAGACAGACAACAAAUUGCUAAGGAGUCACAGACUCGAGCCUAGCAAAGGUCAGACAACAACACACAAAAGAAAAGGCGCCCGGAGAGAUCAGCUCAAUCUCCUGCCUACAUACUUCAUCUGGUGUGAAGAUCAGGGCGAUGUAGUUCCCCUACGCAGGGAUAAAGGACUAGCCUAACCAGA
rnacentral:lncRNA from 1 species